GUAUAUGACAUAGCCGGAAAGGGAAGAGCGGUGAUGGCUUGUUCUUCUGCCUCUCUCCUCCAGAAGGGUUUGCCUUUAACUUUCUAAAAUAUCCAGAUUGAAUCCUGCUAGUGCAGCCACGCCGCUGGUAGGCUGCAAUAAUUCUUGUGUAAGGUGGCUUCCCAAUACAUCCCCAGACAUUUCAACCAAGACUUCUUUUUCCUGCACACAUCACGUAAGGACUACACAUCAUGGGCAGGUUUAUCCUUCCUCUUCUGGUAAAGAUGGUUGAAGACAUGCAAGGAACUGGUACAGACAUUUCACUUACAGUGGACAAUAAAUGCUCACCUUUUCCCCCUAAAAGCCAAGAUUUCUCUAUCUACCCCUACCUCCCAGCCCAAUCCACCUCACCAGCCAAGUAGGUAACGAGGGAGCAUCACUAAGUGCUCUUUGUUCCCCUACCCUCAUGUAACCCACUCACCUGAGUGUGGCCUUCUGUCCCAUCUAGUGGCACUGAGACCACUUGGAGAUACAAUGAGUCUGUUGUACAAUCUUAGCUAGUUGGCUUUUCGCUCAUGCAGUAGAGGCUCAUGCCCUGAGCUCCAGAGACCCCAGGUUCAAUCCCACCUGCUGACAACCAGGGUCUGUUGGCAUCACACUCACUCCCAGCUCCCUAGACUUUAAGGAUGAUCUAGUGACAAAGAUUAAGUGCAUCUGUUAGUUGGCUUACACUAAUAUCUGUUUCUGAUGGACUGGACUGUUCCAGGGGGAUACGUUGCAUGAUCUCCCACACCGAGGACCAUAUGCCUCUAUUACUGCCAUGGUAGUUACAGGAGGAGGAGACCAUAGGCUGCUGGCGAGUAACAUCUCACAGUAACAGAGCUUUAUUGAAGAGGUAGACUAAGCUUCGAAGAAUCCUUGCCCAAUCACCUCAGCCCAUCACCUGUAGGCUGGGUCUAUGACCCACUGGAGAUCCAUGGUGGUUGGGUCAUGUCUGAUGGAGGAGAAGUCAUCCUUGGCUUUGGGGAAGGAUGUAUAUUUAGAGCUGGUUCCAUGCUGAGCUGGUUCCAUGCGCAUAACCCAUUUGUUUCUACGGUUUUUAGCCCUCACCUGCCAAUCUCCUUUGGGGCAUGUGACAGUUCCUGAGUAUCUGUUGGUUUAUUGUCUGUCUCUCUCUCUCACACACCUUUCCAGGCAACUUUUGCGAGAGCAAAGCUAUGGUUGAGGGAAUUAGAGAAGGAAUUUCUUCCCGAUGAGCUCGUGAUUAUUUUAGUCAGCGAUAAGGCAGAUCUUGCUGCUCAGCGGGAAGUCACCUUUGAGGUAAAAAGUGUCACUGCAGUAAGAUCUCAGCACUUGGCAGAUUCUCUCUUUCAAAAACACCACUAGAAGCUGAUGCUGCAUCACUGACCACCAAGUUCAAGGAAUGAGAACUGCAUGGGACAAAAGAAGCUCGAGGGUUUAACUCUCGGAUUCGUGUCUCCUGUGAGUUUUAACAGGUUCCAGCCAGAGAGCAGCUGCAAUGCCUUCAGCUGUGCAACAGAGAAAACAAGCGUGGCCUAAACAGUUCGGCUGCAACCGUGUGACUGGAACAGAAGGAGCGUGAGCUGGGGAAAUAAGAAGCUUUAGGGUUUGCAGCAGAAACUGCUGGAAUCCAACGGUGGCUCUAUCACCGGACACGCUGCUCUUCAGAAAGGAGGCAGAGGACUUUGCAAAGAGCAAAAGCUUAAUCUACAUGGAAACGUCAGCAAAAUCCAACCACCAAGUGACUGAGGUGUUUAUGGCCACAGCUCCUGAGUUAUUGAAACAGGAACAACAGAAGGAACCAGCCCUUCAGCCUCAGCCAUGGAAGAAGUCAUGCGUGGAUCUGCGAGAGCCAAGCAAUCACACUAAGAAGCGUUGCAUGAACUAAAGGAAAUGGCAGACUGACCUGAGGAUACCAUCAAGUGCGUUUUUAUUUUGUGCAGGAGGAGGAGAAGGAGACUGGCCCUAUGUAUUGUGAGCAGGCAGCAUGGUUCCAGGGGGCAGCUGGUGUGUCAGACUGUGAUUAUUGCUUUUAUUUUUCAUUGUCAGUGUUCGAUUGAAGAACUGUACGAGAGGAAAUAUGCCAAAUGCCAGGAACCUGAAAAGCACUGCAAGUCUCCUCUCGCUUGUUUGUUCAGUGAUAUCAUUAUACAAGAAUACAGUGCAAAGUAGCUUCACAAAUAAAAACAGCACAAAGGAGGAGCAGUCUCUCUCUCCCCCACUUUCACCUUUGCAAAUUCUAUAAAACUUUUACAGAGGCUGUUAACAUUAAGGUCACCCAAUCAUUAAAUGCAAGACAUGGAAUAGCCAGAACAUGCAGCUCUAGCUUAAUAUCGCUAUAAGAACUCAUUAUUGUCAUGAGUCUUGUGAUUUUUAGGGCAUUUCUUAAAGCCCCAGAUGCUGGAGUCAAAUGAUCACUUGGGAAACUUUAAACAACCAACAACUCUUCCAAAACAAACACUUUCUGGCUCUCAUGGUUGUGGAGAAAACGGAGAACAUGAAACAAGCACACCCUGAAGGUCCAGGAACCAUACUGUAAAUAAGGAGACCCUGAAUGUUAUUUAAAAGUCUCAUGAAUUUUUGGGGGGAGACGGGGGCUGAUUUCUCAUUGGAGUACCUGGGAUUGGCAAUACUGCAGUGGUAGAGGUUUAAUCAAGAAAUAAACCAGGGCCUGAUUCUCCUCAACCUUACACAAUUGCAACACUAAAGCGAGUGGAGUUACAUUGGUGUAAAUAUGAGAAUCAGACCUUCUGACUUAGGCCAGUUCCACACUAGAAACUCCAGCUGGCACAGUGGUCCUGCGUCUACACAAGAAGGGUUUGCCAGGAUGCUACCCCAGUAAACUUUCCAUUGAAGACUACGCAAAAAUCAAAUUUUGUCUUGCGCUUGUCAGGUAAACAGUUUACUAACAUAUCUAACCUUACAACCACAUCUGCUCCAACCCCUCAGACAGAGACCAAACACCUACAAAAUCUUCACCAAACAAACAUUCUCAAAACUACAAUACCCGCACGAGGAAAUAAGAAAACAGAUCAACAGAGCUAGAUGUGUACCCAGAAGCCUCGUACUGCAGGACAAGCCCAAGAAAGAAACCAACAGAACUCCACUGGCCAUCCCCAGCUAAAAUCCCUCCAAUGCAUCAUCAGGGAUCUACAACCUAUCCUGGACAAUGAUCCCUACUUUCACAGGCCUUGGGUGGCAGGCCAUUCCUUGCCCACAGACAGCCCGCCAACCUGAAGCAUAUUCUCACCAGUAACUACAUCCCGCACCAUAGUAACUCUAACUUAGGAACCAAUCCAUGCAACAAACCUCAAUGCCAACUCUGCCCACAUAUCUACACCAGCGACACCAUCACAGGACCUAACCAGAUCAGCCACACCAUCACCGGUUCAUUCACCUGCAAGUCCAACAAUGUAAUAUACGCUAUCAUAUGCCAGCAAUGCCCCUCUGCUAUGUACAUUGGCCAAACUGGACAGUCCCUACGGAAAAGGAUAUAUGGACACAAAUCAGAUAUUAGGAAUGGUAAUAUACAAAAACCUGUAGGAGAACACUUCAACCUCCCUGGACACACAACAGCAGAUCUUAAGAUGGCCAUCCUGCAGCAAAAAAACUUCAGGACCAGACUUCAAAGAGAAACUGCUGAGCUUCAGUUCCUCUGCAAAUUUGACACCAUCCGCUCAGGAUUAAACAAAGACUGUGAAUGGCUAGUCAACUACAAAACCAGUUUCUCCUCCCUUGGUGUUCAUAUCUCAGCUUCUAGAGGAGGGCCUCAUCCUCCCUGAUUGAACUAACCUGGUUAUCUCUAGCCUGCUUCUUGCUUACAUAUAUAUACCUGCCCCUGGAAAUUUCCACUACAUCCAUCCGAUGAAGUGGGUAGUCACCCACAAAGGCUCAUGCUGCAAUACAUCUGUUAGUGUAUAAGGUGCCACAGGAUUCUUUGCUGCUUUUACAUAUCUAACCUUGUUAAUUUCAGCACACUUAUUUGUGAACUGAUCACAGAUGCCUCAGUGCUAAGGGCAUGUCAAGAUUCAAAGAUCUCCUACUUGUGAAUUGUGCCUCUGAAGAGAGGCAGUAGUUUUAAUGGUGUGUGUCGGGGGGAGGGAGGAGUGGAUUCUCUCAUGUCUGAGGAGCACAAAAGAGCUGAAGGGACUUUGCUCAGGUUUGCUGAAUUUGUUACCUAAGUUCCAGCAGAGACCAAGCAUGGAAAGCUUGAUCUGAAAAGGCACAGGAUCAUGAGCUUGUGAAAACGGACUUUAACUGAAGCCAUUUUACCACCUGAGCUACAGUAUUUACACUGCAGCCAACGUUGCAAGAUAAAGCCAGUGUGAGCUGUACUGUUGAUAGGAGAACUGCACAUGCAGUGAGAAAACACCCCUGGAAUGGGUCACAGCUGAGGCUCUACAGGGCAUUUGCUAUAACCAGUGCUCAAGACCCAGUGAAUUGGUUCAGUAACACCACAUUUGGGAAGUGCAGGGGCUCAUUUCACUGCAGCUGUAGCAGCCACCAGCCAGUCUCUGCUAUUUCAGGAGGGUGAAGUCAUCCUCUGGUGCACAUGUGCUUACAGUACGUCACAUGAUCUCACUGCUAAACUCGUGCUGUUGCUUAUAUACAUCAUCCCACCCCAGACAGACUCAGCCCGGGGGAACCG